rnacentral:rRNA from 1 species
CCUACGGGAGGCAGCAGUGAGGAAUAUUGGUCAAUGGCCGUAAGGCUGAACCAGCCAAGUAGCGUGAGGGAAGACUGCCCUAUGGGUUGUAAACCUCUUUUAUGCGGGGAUAAAGGUGUCCACGUGUGGAUGUUUGCAGGUACCGCAUGAAUAAGGAUCGGCUAAGUCCGUGCCAGCAGCCGCGGUAAUACGGAGGGUCCGGGCGUUAUCCGGAUUUAUUGGGUUUAAAGGGGGCGUAGGCCGUUCGAUAAGUGAGCGGUGAAAUCCCGGGGCUCAACGAUGGCACUGCGGCGGGGACUGUAGGGGUAGAGUUUAGGUGCGGUAGGCGGAAUGUAUGGUGUAGCGGUGAAAGGCAGAGAGAUCAUACAGAACACCGAUUGCGAAGGCAGCUUACCAAACUACGACUGACGUUGAGGCACGAAAGCGUGGGGAGCAAACAGGAUUAGAUACCCGUGUAGUC